rnacentral:rRNA from 1 species
UGCAUGUCUCAGUGCAAGCCAAAUUAAGGUGAAACCGCGAAUGGCUCAUUAAAUCAGUUAUGGUUCCUUAGAUCGUACCACGUUACUUGGAUAACUGUGGUAAUUCUAGAGCUAAUACAUGCAAACUGAGUCCCGACCAGAAAUGGAAGGGAUGCUUUUAUUAGAUCAAAACCAAUCGGUCGGCUUGUCCGGUCCGUUUGCCUUGGUGACUCUGAAUAACUUUGGGCUGAUCGCACGGUCCUAGAACCGGCGACGCAUCUUUCAAAUGUCUGCCUUAUCAACUGUCGAUGGUAGGUUCUGCGCCUACCAUGGUUGUAACGGGUAACGGGGAAUCAGGGUUCGAUUCCGGAGAGGGAGCCUGAGAAACGGCUACCACAUCCAAGGAAGGCAGCAGGCGCGCAAAUUACCCACUCCCGGCACGGGGAGGUAGUGACGAAAAAUAACGAUACGGGACUCAUCCGAGGCCCCGUAAUCGGAAUGAGUACACUUUAAAUCCUUUAACGAGUAUCCAUUGGAGGGCAAGUCUGGUGCCAGCAGCCGCGGUAAUUCCAGCUCCAAUAGCGUAUAUUAAAGUUGUUGCGGUUAAAAAGCUCGUAGUUGGACUUGUGUCCCACGCUGUCGGUUCACCGCUCGUCGGUGUUUAACUGGCAUGGUUCGUGGGACGUCCUGCCGGUGGUGGCGAGUCGAAAGCGUGCUCCCGACGCGGCUUCCGUGUUCGGUUCUUGUGCGCCUAGACGGACCCCGAUCAAAUCCUACCGCGGUGCUCUUCGCCGAGUGUCGAGGUGGGCCGGCACGUUUACUUUGAACAAAUUAGAGUGCUUAAAGCAGGCCUUUUGCGCCUGAAUACUGUGUGCAUGGAAUAAUGGAAUAGGACCUCGGUUCUAUUUUGUUGGUUUUCGGAACCCGAGGUAAUGAUUAAUAGGGACAGGCGGGGGCAUUCGUAUUGCGACGUUAGAGGU